GGUUAAUGGUAAGAGAAGCCUUCAUGUAGUCUGCAAACAGAAGAUUUGCUGUUGGGAGUAGACCUCGGGCACAUCUUUCUAGCUGACAAAUCUCCAUUCUCCAUUUUUACCAACUCAGGAGUGCCAAGGUUUGAGUCGUACUUGGACCAGAGCUCCCAAGCUUGCCUUGCUCGGAUCAUGAGGAAUAGCAGAAGACACUUGUAGCUGUGGCUAAAAG